ACUGGCAGCGGCAUCAGCGGCUUUCUUCGCAGCCUCAAACAACUCCACAAGCUCUCUCUCCAUCGAUUCUCAGAUCUCUAAUGCCCCGAAUAUCCGCCCCAGGAAGUAGAAAGUCGCAGACGCUCUGUUUCUCUCCCCGGCUUGAGCUUUGUCCUUGUCUUGGGUAGGUGUUCCUGUUGCCCUGCCCUGCUUGUUUUUUAGAACGGCAACGGGCAUGCGGAAGAGAUAAUGAAAUUAAGACUGGACAUGGGCUGAGAAAUGCGAUCCAAUGUGUUUG
rnacentral:misc_RNA from 1 species